rnacentral:rRNA from 1 species
GAUCCUGGCUCAGAAUCAACGCUGGCGGCGUGCCUAACACAUGCAAGUCGAACGAGAAAGGGCUUUCGGGCCUGAGUAAAGUGGCGCACGGGUGAGUAACACGUGACUAACCUACCCUUGAGCGGGGGAUAACCUAGGGAAACCUGGGCUAAUACCGCAUAACACCUACGGGUCAAAGCGAGCAAUCGCACUUAAGGAGGGGGUCGCGGCGGAUUAGCUAGUUGGUGAGGUAAUGGCUCACCAAGGCGAUGAUCUGUAUCCGGCCUGAGAGGGCGCACGGACACACUGGAACUGAAACACGGUCCAGACUCCUACGGGAGGCAGCAGUGGGGAAUUUUGCGCAAUGGGGGAAACCCUGACGCAGCAACGCCGCGUGGAGGAUGAAAUCCCUUGGGAUGUAAACUCCUUUCGAUCGGGACGAUAAUGACGGUACCGGAAGAAGAAGCCCCGGCUAACUUCGUGCCAGCAGCCGCGGUAAUACGAGGGGGGCAAGCGUUGUUCGGAAUUAUUGGGCGUAAAGGGUGCGUAGGCGGUUUCGUAAGUCUUAUGUGAAAUCUAUGGGCUCAACCCAUAGUCUGCAUGGGAAACUGCGAGGCUUGAGAGUGGGAGAGGUGAGUGGAAUUUCCGGUGUAGCGGUGAAAUGCGUAGAUAUCGGAAGGAACACCUGUGGCGAAAGCGGCUCACUGGACCAUUUCUGACGCUGAUGCACGAAAGCUAGGGGAGCAAACAG